rnacentral:rRNA from 1 species
GACGAACGCUGGCGGUGUGCUUAACACAUGCAAGUCGAACGGUAAGGCCCUUUCUGGGGUACGCGAGUGGCGAACGGGUGAGUAACACGUGAGUAACCUGCCCUCAUCUCUGGGAUAACAGUCGGAAACGGUUGCUAAUACUGGAUAUGAGCCUGCAAGGCAUCUUGUGGGUUGGAAAGAUUUUUUGGUUGGGGAUGGACUCGCGGCCUAUCAGCUUGUUGGUGAGGUAGUGGCUCACCAAGGCUUCGACGGGUAGCCGGCCUGAGAGGGCGACCGGCCACAUUGGGACUGAGAUACGGCCCAAACUCCUACGGGAGGCAGCAGUGGGGAAUAUUGCACAAUGGACGGAAGUCUGAUGCAGCAACGCCGCGUGCGGGAUGACGGCCUUCGGGUUGUAAACCGCUUUCAAUUGUGACGAAGCUUUUUGUGACGGUAGCAGUAGAAGAAGCACCGGCUAACUACGUG